rnacentral:lncRNA from 1 species
UGAAGCUCUACCUACUGCCUCAGAGCAACAACACAAUAAAAAACCAAAAUAUGAACACCAGCAACUAAAACAGGAACCAUUAAAUGAAUAUUACACACAGCAAUAACAGCAUCAAAUAAUGGAAAUAAUGGACCCUACUGCUCAAAUCAAAAACAAAAUUUCAUCAUUACCACUUUAUUGGUUAUAUCAAUAAAAGAAAUUAUUGAGUUUAUGAGUCUAGAUCCUACAAGCAAGCAGAUCUAUCACAUAAUUUAAAAUGAAGAUUUAUCUAUUAUAGUAAUUUAUUCUAAUAAU